UACGUAGGGGGCAAGCGUUGUCCGGAUUUAUUGGGCGUAAAGAGCGUGUAGGCGGCCAGGUAGGUCCGCUGUGAAAACUCGAGGCUUAACCUCGAGAUGUCGGUGGAAACCAUCUGGCUAGAGUGCGGUAGGGGAGAUUGGAAUUCCUGGUGUAGCGGUGGAAUGCGCAGAUAUCAGGAGGAACACCGAUGGCGAAGGCAGAUCUCUGGGCCGUAACUGACGCUGAGGAGCGAAAGCGUUGGGGGAGCGAACAGG
rnacentral:rRNA from 1 species